UACAGAGGUCCCAAGCGUUGUUCGGAUUCAUUGGGCGUAAAGGGUGCGUAGGUGGCGUCGUAAGUCGGGGUGUGAAAAUUUCGGAGCUCAACUCCGAAACUGCAUUCGAUACUGCGGUGCUUGAGGACUGGGAGAGGAGACUGGAAUUUACGGUGUAGCAGUGAAAUGCGUAGAGAUCGUAAGGAAGACCAGUGGCGAAGGCGGGUCUCUGGACAGUUCCUGACGCUGAUGCGCGAAAGCCAGGGGAGCGAACGGG
rnacentral:rRNA from 1 species